AACGAACGCUGGCGGCGCGCCUAAUACAUGCAAGUCGAGCGAGAAGACGUAGCAAUACGUUUGUAAAGCGGCGAACGGGUGAGGAAUACAUGGGUAACCUACCCUCGAGUGGGGAAUAACUAGCCGAAAGGUUAGCUAAUACCGCGUACGCUCCUUGGACUUCGGUUCAGGGAGGAAAGCGAUACCGUGGGUAUCGCGCUCUUGGAUGGGCUCAUGUCCUAUCAGCUUGUUGGUGAGGAACGGCUCACCAAGGCUUCGACGGUAGCUGGUCUGAGAGGACGAUCAGCCACACUGGCACUGCGACACGGGCCAGACUCC
rnacentral:rRNA from 1 species